GGCCGCUUGGCGUAAUGGUAACGCGUCUGACUUCGAUUGUCUACGGUAUCAGAAGACUAUAGGUUCGAGUCCUGUAGUGGUCG